UGUUGAGCAGGUUUCUUCGUG
rnacentral:siRNA from 1 species